GUAGGAGGCAAGCGUUAUCCGGAUUUACUGGGGGGCGUAAAGCGUGUGUAGGGCGGGUUUGGGUCAGUCGGACGUGAAAGCUCCUGGCUCAACUAGGAGAGGCCCGUUCGAAACUUCCAAACUUGAGGGCAGUAGAGGGAGGUGGAAUUCCGGGUGUAGCGGUGAAAUGCGUAGAUAUCCGGAGGAACACCAGUGGCGAAGGCGGCCUCCUGGACUGUCCCUGACGCUCAGACACGAAAGCUAGGGGAGCAAACGGGAUUAGACACCCCGGUAGUCCUAGCUGUAAACGAUGCAGACUUGGUGUUGGGAGUGUAAAAACUUUCAGUGCCGGAGCUAACGCGUUAAGUCUGCCGCCUGGGGACUACGACCGCAAGGUUA
rnacentral:rRNA from 1 species